GAUGAAGAACGUAGCGAAAUGCGAUAAGUAAUGUGAAUUGCAGAAUUCAGUGAAUCAUCGAAUCUUUGAACGCACAUUACGCCCGCCAGUAUUCUGGCGGGCAUGCCUGUUCGAGCGUCAUUUCAACCCUCAAGCACAGCUUGGUGUUGGGACUCGCGUUAAUUCGCGUUCCCCAAAUUGAUUGGCGGUCACGUCGAGCUUCCAUAGCGUAGUAGUAAAACCCUCGUUACUGGUAAUCGUCGCGGCCACGCCGUUAAACCCCAACUUCUGAAUGUUGACCUCGGAUCAGGUAGGAAUACCCGCUGAACUUAAGCAUAUCAAUAAGCGGAGGA
rnacentral:misc_RNA from 1 species